UACGUAGGUGGCAAGCGUUGUCCGGAUUUACUGGGCGUAAAGAGCGCGCAGGCGGUCGUUCAAGUCGCGUGUGAAAGCCCCCGGCUCAACUGGGGAGGGUCACGCGAUACUGAUCGACUCGAAGGCAGGAGAGGGAAGUGGAAUUCCCGGUGUAGUGGUGAAAUGCGUAGAUAUCGAGAGGAACACCUGCGGCGAAGGCGGGUAGCUGGGCCGACACUGACGCUGAGGCGCGAAAGCCAGGGGAGCGAACGGG
rnacentral:rRNA from 1 species